UACGUAGGCACCAAGCGUUGUCCGGAUUUAUUGGGCGUAAAGAGCUCGUAGGCGGUUCAGUAAGUCGGAUGUGAAAACUUUGGGCUCAACCCAAAGCCUGCAUCUGAUACUGCUGUGACUUGAGUUCGGUAGGGGAGCAGGGAAUUCCUAGUGUAGCGGUGAAAUGCGCAGAUAUUAGGAGGAACACCGGUGGCGAAGGCGCUGCUCUGGGCCGAUACUGACGCUGAGGAGCGAAAGCGUGGGUAGCAAACAGG
rnacentral:rRNA from 1 species